UAAUGUAUGGGGAUCUGCCCGAUAGAGGGGGAUAACUACUGGAAACGGUGGCUAAUACCGCAUAAUGUCUACGAACCAAAGCAGGGGCUCUUCGGACCUUGCACUAUCGGAUGAACCCAUAUGGGAUUAGCUAGUAGGUGGGGUAAAGGCUCACCUAGGCGACGAUCUCUAGCUGGUCUGAGAGGAUGAUCAGCCACACUGGGACUGAGACACGGCCCAG
rnacentral:rRNA from 1 species